UCAGGGCCAUCCUCCAGACCCUGAUAAGCCCCUGACUUCUAACACGUACUCUUUCUGCUUUGUUCUCACUGCUAUGUUUGAAUGAGCCAAUUGUAUGUAACCACGCCAAAACCCCCUAGCCUUCUCUAUAUAACCCUCUGACUUUUGAGUUUCGAGGCCGACACCUCUGUCUCCUGUGCGGGAUACGUGUCGGCCCGGAGAUCUCUGUAAUAGGUCUCUGUAAUAAACCUCGCCUUUGUUUAUUACAUCCAAAAUGGUCUCUCCGUGUCUGGGGUCUGCGAUUUCCCAAGACUUGAGUAAGGGUCUCUCUGCGUGGGGGCUCGUCCGGGAUCUUCGAGACCAACCCAGACUCCGAAGACCCCUUGGAGGUGAGUUGGAUGUUUGUCUGAGUGUUUCUGUGUGAGCGGCGCCGCAAUUGUCAGUCUGUGUCUGUCUCUGUUUUGGUUCCGCCGUGUGUGUAUAUAUGUGUGUCUUAGUACUGGUCAGUGUUAAGAGGGCAGAUGGGUAUUCCUGCCCUGUGUUAAGAGGGCAGAUGGGUAUUCCUGCCCUGCUCUAAGAGGGCAGAUGUGUAUUUCCUGCCCUGUGCUAGGAGAGUGGAUGUGUAUCCCCACUCAGUGCAGCUGCCUUUGUGGUUUGUGAGGACCCUCUGGCUGCGGAAGCGGGGGACGCCCCGGGGCCCGCAGGCUGCAGCCCCUGGAAGACGUUCCACGGGCGGAGAACAGUCGGAAGAGCCCGGCUGUGGGCAGUCAGGAGGACCUGACUGUGGUUUUCUGGAACAAAGGAGACAGAGUGCUCCUUAGUGUCUGCUGUUUGUGUUCUGUUUCUGUGUUUGGUGUUCUUUUUCUUUGCCAUGGGGCAGACUGUGAUAACCCCUUUGUCUUUGAUGGUGGACCAUUAUACGGAUGUUAGGACAAGAGGACACUCUAAAAUCCUGUUGGGAGGUGGAAUCAGAUGGUCCAUCUCAUCCCAAAAGCAGCUAAGGUUAAGCUGCAGUUUGGGCCAGGUACUGAAGGUACCAGGCAUCUGUGAAAAUUGGUUAUAAGAUGCUUUGUUUUGAUAUUGUUUGUCUGGUUUGUUUUCUGUGGUAUUGUCGAGUGUCUUUUUGGCUUUUGUUUCGUUUUUGAAUUUUGGACUGACGACUGUGUUUGAAUUUGGACUGACGACUGUGUUUGAAAUCUUGGACUGACGACUGUGUUUGAAAUCAUGAAACUGUUUGCUUUGUUCGUCAAAGAGUUUUACUUGGUCCUCUUGGUGCUUAAGUUAAAAGUUAAAAAUAAUUUGCUUGAGAGAAAUUGUUUUCUGCCAGGGAGUUUUGUCUUUCUCUCUUGAGCCUCCUCCCCAAGGAGAGAUGCCCCUCCCUUUACUCCCCUUGAUCAGCCUAGCUGCUGUUAACAGUUGUGUAAACAGACAUUAACAAAAACCUUGAGGACAAAACCGCUCAAUAAUAAAAAUUCCCCAGAUUAGGCCUCCGGUAUGAAACAAGUAUAGUGAGUAAGAAACUUAAUUUUAUGGACCCCGCUCGAGUGGUGGUGUGUUGGUUGAUAGCCAACGUUAAUUUUUUAAAACAUAGUGUUUUAUCUGUGCUUGUGCUCCCAACACACAGUAGGGGGGAGCGAAAUUAGCUGCGGAGCUGCUACAGCGAACAUGGGGUCUUCUCAAGUCUCACCCAAUUUUUCUGGCUCUUCAGGAGCUGUUUAAAAGGAAAAGGCUUAAGGUAAAAAGAAACACUAUAGAGAGAUUUCUUAGUGAAUUACUACACCUUGGUUCGCGAUCUCUGGGAAUCUCACGGUGGACAGCUGAGAUAAGCUAGAAAAGGAUUUAAAUUUUGCUUGAGAGCAAGAAAUCUUAAAGGCAGAGUUUCAGCCGGUAUGGCACUUAGUGCGUAGCUGCCUAAAAGAUCAGAAAUGCUGUCAACAGGCUAUAAAAAAGGGACAGGCUGUGUUAGAAAUGCUACGAGAAGAAUGAUCUAAAAAGGCUGAGAGUGAGGUGGGGGAGGACUCUAAAGAAAACAAGAACAAGAAAAAAAUUUCUGCUUUUAGUGGCCAGACCUUCAACUCUUGCUCACAGAAAGAGAGUGCUCAUUAAGAAAAGUUCUUUAGGGAGCCUGCCUUAUCUGCUGGCCCUAUUCCAAGAGAGGAGUCAGUCUCCAACAUUAAAUUACUUUUCUCACUGGUCAUCAUUAGCAUGGAGAGUGCCUUUGAUCCUAUCCCCACAGCAGCCAGUUCCUGCCCCUGUGGUCGAAAUGUCCCAGGUUGGGGGACAGAGAAGCCCCUAAAAUAGUUUCAAAAAAUCUACAACAAACUGUAAAGAACUUUGUUUUGUUUUGCCAGUCAAAAUUUAAAAUUCAGGCUUUGGCUGUGGCCAAGGUCAGGAUUAAUGUUUUCUUUUCCAUGGGCCUUUAGCCCACUGAGACAGUUUGGUAAAGGGCUGCUACUGAGGUCCUGAAAGCCCCAGGUGAACUGGUUACAAUUCUUUCGUCAGCUGCUUAGUAUCGAACACCCAGGUUCUAACGUCUCUCCAUCCUUUUGUUAUUAGUUCUUACUGGAAGCCUAGUGCCAUUUAGAGGAUGGGUCUCUUGAGCGAUAAAGCCACUGAGCUGGCACUAAAGGAAGGUACUCCUUAAGGGAAAAUCUAAGUCCAGAGAGACAACCGGUAACAGAUAGACUGCCCCUCUGCUCACAAGGUCUUUUUGUCCCAAGAAAGCCUCCUGGCUUAGCUGUGUGACUAAAUGCUAUUUGCCCUCUUCAGUGGACCUCUAUUCUCAAGAUUCCCUUGUUUUCUCACCAUCCCAUUUGAGAUGCUUGUUAGUAACUGUUACAGGUCUUCUUUACCACCGAGGAAAGACAGAAUCCUACUAGAGGCCAGAAAAAGUGUUCCAGAGAUGGAUGGAAGGCCCUCACUUCUGCCAGCUCUCUUCAGACGCCUAAAGUUUUACCUGCACAACUACAGCCGUCUGCUCGUCGACUGUCAGCACUACAUAACGCUCUGUACUUCCAAAGAGUUUCAGUGACUCGCAGCAGCAUCUCUCCACGAGUGUGAUGUUAUAGCUGCAAAAGACAAGAUUCUUCAGGGAAAAUAAUGCCAAGAAUGCUCUUCUGAGUAUCGAGCUGCCCUUCUGAGUAUUAAAUUAUGUGGGUGAUAAUCCUUUUAAGAAGUUCAUGCUGUCUUGGUAAUUGUGCUGAUUACUAGUCUGUCUUCUCCAUGACAAACGUCUUGACCAAUUUAUCCUCCUUCUCAUGAAGCACAGCUCAAUCUAGAAGUUAAAAGUGUGGAUGCUGGGGCUGGAGAGAUGGCUCAGUGGUUAGGAGCACUGGAUGCUUUUCCAUUGGUCCUGAGUUCAAUUUCCAGCAACCACACAGUGGCCCACCACCAUCUAUAAUGGGAUCUGAUGCCCUUUUCUGUUUUGCUACAGUGAGAAACCUAGCAAAAUGAGCUGGUCAGAUAAAGGUGACAUCAGUGAGCACAGAGCUGCCAGGUGUGGUAGCCUGUGAUCCCAGCGAUCAGAAGGCCUGGGCAGGAGGACCUGAAGGCCAAGGCCAGCUUCUGCUGCACAGAGAACCAAGCCUGUCUUAAAAACAAAAGCAGAGCACACAGGUUACACAGCAAACAAUCCUGUUCUCAACUCUGGAAACACCAAAUAUCAGUGAGGGAAGUAUUCUGGGUCAGUCUUAGCACAUGUCUAGAACAUUUGGACAAAUUGUCUCGGCCUGCUUCGUCACUGUUAACUUCAACCCCAUGUCUAACAUCACUGGAUGGAGGAGUAACUUGUACUCUCCUACUUAUCAUGUGGUUUCUUUCUGAAGGGAGCAGUGAGUCAGGUUUAAUGGUAAACUUAAGGUUUAAGGUUUAAUUGAACAACUUAGGAAAGUCAUUCAAGAGACUAUAAAGUUGAGGAUAAAGGAGCGGCAGAGGGGGGAAGGGAAAAAUUCAUAUAACUUUAUAUUCAGAUUGAAUAUGACCAUGUGUGAUGUUUUCCUGCUAGAUUAGGUUUGAAGAGGCAUUUUGUCUUAAAACUUCAUUAAUUCAGCUUUCAUAUAAUUGAUGGAGGAUGGGUGAGAAAGUAAUUUCUAAUACAAUCCAAGACAUAAGUAUUUUUACAGUAUCACGUCAGAUGAGAUUCUGCCCCAUUACAUAAAAGUAAAUCAUGACAGUUAUGUUAUGAUGUAAAUGUCCACAAUCUGAGACAACAGCUUACAGCAGGAAUUAAAGCAUUUAAAUAUGAAGGCAGUGGACAAUGACA